CCUACGGGAGGCAGCAGUGAGGAAUAUUGGUCAAUGGACGAGAGUCUGAACCAGCCAAGUAGCGUGAAGGAUGACUGCCCUAUGGGUUGUAAACUUCUUUUAUAAAGGAAUAAAACGAGGCACGUGUGCCUUUUUGCAUGUACUUUAUGAAUAAGGAUCGGCUAACUCCGUGCCAGCAGCCGCGGUAAUACGGAGGAUCCGAGCGUUAUCCGGAUUUAUUGGGUUUAAAGGGAGCGUAGAUGGGUUGUUAAGUCAGUUGUGAAAGUUUGCGGCUCAACCGUAAAAUUGCAAUUGAUACUGGCAGUCGUGAGUACAGUUGAGGUAGGCGGAAUUCGUGGUGUAGCGGUGAAAUGCUUAGAUAUCACGAAGAACCCCGAUUGCGAAGGCAGCUUACUAAACUGUGACUGACAUUGAUGCUCGAAAGUGUGUGUAUCAAACAGGAUUAGAUACCCUGUAGUC
rnacentral:rRNA from 1 species